UACGUAGGUGGCAAGCGUUGUCCGGAUUUAUUGGGUUUAAAGGGUGCGUAGGCGGUUCUAUAAGUCAGUGGUGAAAUCCGGCAGCUCAACUGUCGAUGUGCCAUUGAUACUGCAGAACUUGAGUACAGACGAGGUAGGCGGAAUUGACGGUGUAGCGGUGAAAUUCGUAGAUAUCGAGAGGAACACCUGUGGCGAAAGCGGCGCACUGGACCACAACUGACGCUGAGGCGCGAAAGCUAGGGGAGCAAACAGG
rnacentral:rRNA from 1 species